rnacentral:rRNA from 1 species
CAGUCGCCGCGGUAAUACGUAGGUGGCAAGCGUUGUCCGGAAUUAUUGGGCGUAAAGGGCUCGCAGGCGGUUUCUUAAGCCUGAUGUGAAAGCCCCCGGCUCAACCGGGGAGGGUCAUUGGAAACUGGGAAACUUGAGUGCAGAAGAGGAGAGUGGAAUUCCACGUGUAGCGGUGAAAUGCGUAGAGAUGUGGAGGAACACCAGUGGCGAAGGCGACUCUCUGGUCUGUAACUGACGCUGAGGAGCGAAAGCGUGGGGAGCGAACAGGAUUAGAUACCCCCGUAGUCCCUGUCUCUUAUAC